rnacentral:rRNA from 1 species
AUGCAGUCGAGCGAGAUUUUUUCCUGUAGCAAUACAGGGAAAAGUCUAGCGGCGAACGGGUGCUUAACACGUGGGCAACCUGCCGAGAAGUGGGGGAUAGCUCGCCGAAAGGCGAAUUAAUACCGCAUGUGAUUAGAGUGGACAUCCAUUCAAAAUCAAAGUCGGGGCAACCUGACGCUUCUUGAGGGGCCCGCGGCCUAUCAGCUAGUUGGUGAGGUAACGGCCCACCAAGGCUUUGACGGGUAGCUGGUCUGAGAGGACGACCAGCCACACUGGGACUGAGACACGGCCCAGACACCUACGGGUGGCAGCAGUCGAGAAUUUUUCUCAAUGGGGGAAACCCUGAAGGAGCGACGCCGCGUGGAGGAUGAAGGUCUUCGGAUUGUAAACUCCUGUCAUUGGGGAACAAGGUGCAUACGUUAACUGCGUGUGCAUUGAUAGUACCCGAAGAGGAAGAGACGGCUAACUCUGUGCCAGCAGCCGCGGUAAUACAGAGGUCUCAAGCGUUGUUCGGAUUCAUUGGGCGUAAAGGGUGCGUAGGCGGCGCGGUAAGUCGGGUGUGAAAUCUCGGGGCUUAACUCCGAAACUGCAUUCGAUACUGCCGUGCUUGAGGACUGGAGAGGAGACUGGAAUUUACGGUGUAGCGGUGAAAUGCGUAGAUAUCGUAAGGAAGACCAGUGGCGAAGGCGGGUCUCUGGACAGUUCCUGACGCUGAGGCACGAAGGCCAGGGGAGCAAACGGGAUUA